UUGCCUUUGCCCAGAGAGAGAAGAGAGUUAAGCUGCUGAUCCUGAUGGCAAGGGAGAGCCGGCUGCGCAGCUGUGUGUGGGAGCC